rnacentral:rRNA from 1 species
AUUGAACGCUGGCGGCAGGCCUAACACAUGCAAGUCGAACGAGUGGCGGACGGGUGAGUAAUGUCUGGGAAACUGCCUGAUGGAGGGGGAUAACUACUGGAAACGGUAGCUAAUACCGCAUACCAUCGGAUGUGCCCAGAUGGGAUUAGCUAGUAGGUGGGGUAACGGCUCACCAAGGCGACGAUCCCUAGCUGGUCUGCGAGGAUGACCAGACACACCGGAACUUGGACACGGUCCCGACUCCCAAGGGAGGGAGCAGUGGGGAAUAUUGGACAAUGGGCGCAAGCCUGAUGCAGCCAUGCCUCGUGUAUGGAGAAGGCCUUCGGGUUUUAAAGUACUUUCAGCGGGGAGGAGUUACCCGCAGAAGAAGCACCGGCUAACUCCGUGCCAGCAGCCGCGGUAAUAC